UACGUAGGGGGCUAGCGUUGUCCGGAAUCAUUGGGCGUAAAGAGCGUGUAGGCGGUCCGGUAAGUCCGCUGUGAAAGUCGGGGGCUCAACCCUCGAAUGCCGGUGGAUACUGUCGGGCUAGAGUGCUGGAAGAGGCGAGUGGAAUUCCUGGUGUAGCGGUGAAAUGCGCAGAUAUCAGGAGGAACACCGAUGGCGAAGGCAGG
rnacentral:rRNA from 1 species